rnacentral:rRNA from 1 species
AUGAACGCUAGCGGCAGGCUUAACACAUGCAAGUCGAGGGGCAGCAUAAUGGAUAGCAAUAUCUAUGGUGGCGACCGGCGCACGGGUGCGUAACGCGUAUGCAACCUACCUUUAACAGGGGGAUAACACUGAGAAAUUGGUACUAAUACCCCAUAAUAUCAUAGAAGGCAUCUUUUAUGGUUGAAAAUUCCGAUGGUUAGAGAUGGGCAUGCGUUGUAUUAGCUAGUUGGUGGGGUAACGGCUCACCAAGGCGACGAUACAUAGGGGGACUGAGAGGUUAACCCCCCACACUGGUACUGAGACACGGACCAGACUCCUACGGGAGGCAGCAGUGAGGAAUAUUGGUCAAUGGACGCAAGUCUGAACCAGCCAUGCCGCGUGCAGGAUGACGGCUCUAUGAGUUGUAAACUGCUUUUGUACGAGGGUAAACGCAGAUACGUGUAUCUGUCUGAAAGUAUCGUACGAAUAAGGAUCGGCUAACUCCGUGCCAGCAGCCGCGGUAAUACGGAGGAUUCAAGCGUUAUCCGGAUUUAUUGGGUGGAAAGGGUGCGUAGGCGGUUUGAUAAGUUAGAGGUGAAAUUUCGGGGCUCAACCCUGAACGUGCCUCUAAUACUGUUGAGCUAGAGAGUAGUUGCGGUAGGCGGAAUGUAUGGUGUAGCGGUGAAAUGCUUAGAGAUCAUACAGAACACCGAUUGCGAAGGCAGCUUACCAAACUAUAUCUGACGUUGAGGCACGAAAGCGUGGGGAGCAAACAGGAUUAGAUACCCUGGUAGUCCACGCAGUAAACGAUGAUAACUCGUUGUCGGCGAUACACAGUCGGUGACUAAGCGAAAGCGAUAAGUUAUCCACCUGGGGAGUACGUUCGCAAGAAUGAAACUCAAAGGAAUUGACGGGGGCCCGCACAAGCGGUGGAGCAUGUGGUUUAAUUCGAAGCAACGCGAAGAACCUUACCAGGUCUUGACAUCCGGAUAAAGACCUCAGAGAUGAGGGGAUAGAUAUAUCCGAGACAGGUGGUGCAUGGUUGUCGUCAGCUCGUGCCGUGAGGUGUCGGGUUAAGUCCCAUAACGAGCGCAACCCCUACCGUUAGUUGCCAUCAGGUGAAGCUGGGCACUCUGGCGGGACUGCCGGUGUAAGCCGAGAGGAAGGUGGGGAUGACGUCAAAUCAGCACGGCCCUUACGUCCGGGGCUACACACGUGUUACAAUGGUAGGUACAGAGGGCAGCUACCCAGCGAUGGGAUGCGAAUCUCGAAAGCCUAUCUCAGUUCGGAUUGGAGGCUGAAACCCGCCUCCAUGAAGUUGGAUUCGCUAGUAAUCGCGCAUCAGCCAUGGCGCGGUGAAUACGUUCCCGGGCCUUGUACACACCGCCCGUCAAGCCAUGGGAGCCGGGGGUGCCUGAAGUUCGUGACCGCAAGGAGCGACCUAGGGCAAAACUGGUGACUGGGGCU